rnacentral:rRNA from 1 species
AGCACAGGGAGAUGAGCGAUACAGAGAAUCGUAGAUUAUAGGAAUACCAAAAGCGAAGGCGAUCUUCUGGAACAGUACUGACGCUGAGAUGCGAAAGCGUGGGGAGCAAACAGGAUUAGAUACCCUGGUAGUCCACGCAGUAAACGAUGAAUGUUAGUCGUUGGAGUGCUAGACACUUCAGUGAUGCAGUUAACACAUUAAACAUUCCGCCUGGGGAGUACGGUCGCAAGAUUAAAACUCAAAGGAAUAGACGGGGACCCGCACAAGUGGUGGAGCAUGUGGUUUAAUUCGAAGAUACGCGAAGAACCUUACCUAGCCUUGACAUAUACUAGAACCUGCCAGAGACGGCGGGGUGCCUUCGGGAGCUGGUAUACAGGUGCUGCACGGCUGUCGUCAGCUCGUGUCGUGAGAUGUUGGGUUAAGUCCCGCAACGAGCGCAACCCUCGUCACUAGUUACUAACGGUUCGGCCGAGGACUCUAGUGAGACUGCCUUCGCAAGGAGGAGGAAGGUGAGGACGACGUCAAGUCAUCAUGGCCCUUACGGCUAGGGCAACACACGUGCUACAAUGGUUAGGACAAUGAGAGGCGAUACCGCGAGGUGGAGCAAAUCUAUAAACCUAAUCUCAGUUCGGAUAGCAGUCUGCAACUCGACUGCUUGAAGCUGGAAUCACUAGUAAUCGUAGAUCAGCUAUGCUACGGUGAAUACGUUCCCGGGUCUUGUACUCACGCCCGGCACACAUGGAAGUGAUUCCACCGAACGGGGAACUAAAUGCUACCUCCCGGUGAAUUACACUGG